rnacentral:rRNA from 1 species
GGAUCAGUAGGUUGGUCGUGCCACCGGUACGUACUGGUCUCACUGAUUCCUCCUUCCUGAAGAACCGUAAUGCCAUUAAUUUGGUGUUGCGGGGAAACAGGACUGUUACUUUGAAAAAAUUAGAGUGUAUAAAGCAAGCUAACGCUUGAAUACAUUAGCAUGGAAUAAUGAAAUAGGACGAUCGAUCCUAUUUUGUUGGUUUCUAGGAUUGACGUA